rnacentral:rRNA from 1 species
GAUGAACGCUGGCGGCGUGCCUAAUACAUGCAAGUCGAGCGGUAAGGCCUCUUCGGAGGUACACGAGCGGCGGACGGCUGAGUAACACGUAGGAGCAUACCCCAAAGUGAGGGAUAACUGCUCGAAAGAGUAGCUAAUACCGCAUGGGGUCAUCGGAUUAAAGCUUCGGCGCUUUGGGAAUGGCCUGCGUCUGAUUAGCUAGAUGGUGAGGUAAUGGCUCACCAUGGCGACGAUCAGUAGCUGGUCUGAGAGGAUGAUCAGCCAGACUGGGACUGAGACACGGCCCAGACUCCUACGGGAGGCAGCAGUAGGGAAUUUUCCACAAUGGGCGAAAGCCUGAUGGAGCAACGCCGCGUGCGGGAUGAAUGCCUUCGGGUUGUAAACUGCUUUUAUAUGUGACGAAUAUGACGGUAGCAUAUGAAUAAGGAUCGGCUAACUCCGUGCCAGCCGCCGCCGUAA